rnacentral:rRNA from 1 species
UACGUAGGGUGCAAGCGUUGUCCCGAAUUAUUGGGCGUAAAGAGCUCGUAGGCGGUUCGUCGCGUCGGCUGUGAAAUCCCGAGGCUCAACCUCGGGUCUGCGGUCGAUACGGGCAUCACUGGAGUUCGGCAGGGGAGACUGGAAUUCCUGGUGUAGCGGUGAAAUGCGCAGAUAUCAGGAGGAACACCGGUGGCGAAGGCGGGUCUCUGGGCCGAUACUGACGCUGAGGAGCGAAAGCGUGGGGAGCGAACAGG